AACGCAGGGCCGGUGACAAGCUGUCGCUGACACGGGUGACGCCAGAGCCUCGCGCGGGCACGCUCAGUUGCCGUUGACCGGCUCCGAGAGCCGUUGACCACCCACCGGAAGUUGCCGCCACGUGCAGUGAGGCCCCAGAGGUGCGCGCGCCGCUCGCUUGUAACUGCUGGGUUUGGCGCUACUCUUCGGCCAGUGUGGAAACUGCGUUUCCAGCUUGGAGGUGGUGGCUGAGGUGAUGCAUUCGAUAGGAGGCUCCCGAGGCUGGGAAAAGCAGAUGGGGACUGAGGUUUCUCAGAAGCCGACAACGUCUGCCUUGAAGACCUCUGGCUUUGGGAGCGGCGUGGGCAGGUGGUGCUGCCGCUGCUUCCCCUGCUGCGGGAGCUGCAGCCAGGACGGCGCAGGCGGCGGAGUAGAGCACUGUGACAGCGCCUUCCUGGAGCCUGGGUACGACGUCUGCCCGGAAGAUCUCGACGAUCUCCACAGAGCUGCCUGGUGGGGCACAGUCCCCAGAGUGGAGCUCAUCCUCAUGCUCAGGGACCCUGGCUUGGACAAGAGAGACAAGAAGAAGAGGACGGCUCUACAUUUGGCCUGUGCCAAUGGCCAUCCAGAAGUGGUAAAACUCCUGCUGCACAGAAACUGUCAACUUCACGUCUUGGACGGGGAAAAGAGGACAGCUCUCAUAAAGGCUGUCCAAUGUCAGGAAGAGGAAUGUGCAAAUAUUUUGCUAGAACAUGGCGCUGAUCCAAAUAUCCCAGAUGUCUAUGGCAACACUACUCUACAUUAUGCCAUCUAUAAUGAGGAUAAAUCAAUGACAAAAAUACUACUUUCUUAUGGUGCAAAUAUUGAAUCAGAAAACAAGGGUGGACUUACACCAUUUUUACUUGCCGUACUUGAACAAAAACAGCAAAUGGUAGAAUUUUUAGUGAAGAAGAAAGCAAAUUUAAAUGCUGUUGACAACUUUAAAAGAACAGCCCUCAUACUUGCUGUAUGUUGUGGAUCAGAAAUUAUGGUCAGCAUUCUUCUUCAGCUAAAUAUUGAUGUCUUUUCUCAAGAUAUAUAUGGACGAACAGCAGAAGACUAUGCUGUUUCUAGGCAUUAUAUUAAAAUUUGCCAACAACUUUCUGACUACAAAGAAAAAAAUAUACCAAGAAACACUUCUCAAAAUAGCGAUCUAGAAGGAACAUCUUACAAGAUUGUGUGUUUGGCAGAAGGAACAUCUAAUGACGUUGUGGCAGAAGGAGCAGCAAGUGUAAAAGUGGAUGGGCGUUCUGAAGACUCUGCUGUCAGGUUUUCUGGCAAACAAACUAUUGAUUAUUUAUUGCCUACAUCAAAUUAUGAAGACAUUGAUUCUGAUAUCAAGGAUGGACCAAUUAAGCCAGCAAAUGGACAAAGACAAAAUGAUACUGGUGUUAUUGCAAGUGCCCCACAAGAAUACACAAAUAAUGACAGUUUAAUUUUUGUUGACAAAAACAACAGAAGUGAUACAACAGCCACAUCAGGAUCCGGACAAGACAGAAAUAUGGAAUCACUUUUGGAUUCCGAGGAUGGAGCAGCUAAGCCAGCAAAUGGAAAAAGACAAAAUGGUACUGAUAUUAUUGAACGCACCCCAUGAGAGCACACAAAUAAAUAUCUCUGAGAAUCUUUCACAGAAGUAUUUGGUGAAUUAUCUGGGGCUGCAGAACAGAAAGGAAAAAUUACACUAAAUGAACAGCUAAGAGAGUCUCCUGAGAAAUAUCUUCAUUUGAAGAUUUCCAGGACAACCUGGUGGGGGAGUGGACCAGCAAGACUUCCUUAGAACAGGUUCCGACUGAUCACUCGGUAAAGUCUUCUUUCUUUGUCUUGAGAUGGGAAUUUUAUUUCUUUUGGCUUCUUUCUCUUUGAUUUGAAUUAAGAUACGCACAUCUUACCACGGACAUUAUAGAUGAGUUACAGAAUAUCUUGGUGGGCAAAUGUAUGUGAGAGUCCAUUACCAACUUGGAGCUUGUUCCAGAUGGCUCUCAUAGAUGACAGCUUCAGUGACAAUCUGCAUGGCAGAGAGCACUUUCCUCAGGAGAAACUCAUUCUUCUUGAAAAUAGUGGUGACUUUGCACCCAAAAUCAUUUGGAAAAUCUUAGCGAAACAGGUUUUCUUGUGCCUUUCCACAAGUGCCUUCUAGGCUUUCUUGGGAGCCAUUGCCACAAGCAACACGUUCCAACCGGUUUUCUAAGGUCACCAAGUAAACAAAAGGCCCAUGCGCGCAGGACACAGCAUGGUCUGAUGCUCACAGUGUUUCCUUUCUCUCUGCAGAUGGACUCAGCAAUUCAGGCAGGAGGUGCGUACUCUGAGAUCAUCCCUUUGCUAAGGAAAAAUCUUAGUGUUGAGAAAGCUGAUACUUUCCUCCCUGCUUUUGCUUGACAGCCCUCCUAGUUUGAGCUUCCUGCUGGAAAUGAGGUUUGGGAAGUUUGGUGAAAAAAAAAAAAAAUGAAGAAUUUAAUCAACAACUGUGGCCAUCCACUCUAGUUCCCAGAGGCAGUGAUGUCAUUUAAAUAGGCAUAGGGGUGCAUCAGGGUGGGGAGGUAUGGAAGAGAGAGUCCAUGUGGAGUGACUGUGACUGUCUUUGGGAGUCUGCAUCCUUUUCUCUAGAAAGCAUGUUCCCCUAUGCAAAGCAUGACCCAAAGAUUGGUGUUCUAGAAACAAAAUUCCAUCCCCAUUGCACACUUGACAUCAGUCAACCCUUUCAUCCUUCACCAUAGCUGUACCUGAAGGUUAGUUGAAUAUCCCUAGUUCUCAGAUUGGAGACAGUGGAGAGAUGAAUUUCCCAAGCUCUCAGUUUCCUGAAUGGAAAAGGCAAGUAUGAACUCAGGAAUGGGUAAAAGGUUGGCAUGAUGAACUACUACUCUGCAUUCAUCAGACAGCCCUGGUGAAACUUGUCACCAUACCAGAGAGUUCCAGCAACUGUGUGUGCAUGUGGAAUAUGACAGCCUAGAGAGAUCCCAGACACUGCCCAUUGUUAUAAGUUGUUGUCAGUGAUGGUGUAAGGCAGGGUAGCAAUACAGUGGACCUUGGGGUGGUCAUUAAUGUGAAACACUCAUAGGGGAGUCACAGGCUUUUGGCUGCAAUGGUGGGGUCAUUUCUCAGCUCCUGUUCAAAAGCAGAUAAUAAUCAGGGACAUGUCUUACUGUAUUUAAAGAUAUGAUUGGACCCAGUGCAGAGGCUCAUGCCUGUAAUCCCAGCACUUUGGGAGGUUGAGGCAGGAAGAUCACUUGCGCCCAGGAGUUUAAG